AGGAUGAUCAGCCACAUCGGGACUGAGACACGGCCCGAACUCCUACGGGAGGCAGCAGUGGGGAAUAUUGGACAAUGGGGGCAACCCUGAUCCAGCCAUGCCGCGUGUGUGAAGAAGGCUUUCGGGUUGUAAAGCACUUUCAGCGAGGAGGAAGGCUCUAAAGUUAAUACCUUUAGGGAUUGACGUUACUCGCAGAAGAAGCACCGGCUAACUCCGUGCCAGCAGCCGCGGUAAUACGGAGGGUGCAAGCGUUAAUCGGAAUUACUGGGCGUAAAGCGCGCGUAGGUGGUU
rnacentral:rRNA from 1 species